rnacentral:rRNA from 1 species
UACAGAGGUCCCAAGCGUUGUUCGGAUUCACUGGGCGUAAAGGGUGCGUAGGCGGUCGGGUAAGUCUGAUGUGAAAUCUCACAGCUUAACUGUGAAACUGCAUUGGAUACUAUCCGGCUCGAGGAAUGGAGGGGAGACUGGAAUACUUGGUGUAGCAGUGAAAUGCGUAGAGUAUCAAGUGGAACACCAGUGGCGAAGGCGAGUCUCUGGACAUUUCCUGACGCUGAGGCACGAAAGCCAGGGGAGCAAACGGG